rnacentral:rRNA from 1 species
AACGAACGCUGGCGGCAGGCCUAACACAUGCAAGUCGAGCGAGCAUUUCGGUGCUAGCGGCGGACGGGUGAGUAACGCGUGGGAACGUGCCCUUUUCUGCGGAAUAGUCCUGGGAAACUGGAGGUAAUACCGCAUACGCCCUUUUGGGGAAAGAUUUAUCGGAGAAGGAUCGGCCCGCGUUGGAUUAGGUAGUUGGUGGGGUAAUGGCCCACCAAGCCGACGAUCCAUAGCUGGUUUGAGAGGAUGAUCAGCCACACUGGGACUGAGACACGGCCCAGACUCCUACGGGAGGCAGCAGUGGGGAAUCUUAGACAAUGGGGGCAACCCUGAUCUAGCCAUGCCGCGUGAGUGAUGAAGGCCUUAGGGUUGUAAAGCUCUUUCAGCUGGGAAGAUAAUGACGGUACCAGCAGAAGAAGCCCCGGCUAACUCCGUG